rnacentral:rRNA from 1 species
UCGCUCCUACCGAUACCGGGUGAUAAGAUGAAUUUGUUGGACCGUGCUCACGAGAAGAUAAGUAAACCUUAUCACCUAGAGGAAGGAG